AUUAACGCGAAGAACCUUACCUGGGCUAGAAUGCCUCAGACCGGCGUAGAGAUACGCCUUCCUGGGUAAAACCAGGCAGAGUGCAAGGUGCUGCAUGGCUGUCGUCAGCUCGUGUCGUGAGAUGUUGGGUUAAGUCCCGCAACGAGCGCAACCCUUAUCAAUAGUUGCCAGCGGUUCGGCCGGGCACUCUAUUGAGACUGCCGUUGACAAAACGGAGGAAGGUGGGGAUGACGUCAAGUCCUCAUGGCCUUUAUGUCCAGGGCUACACACGUGCUACAAUGGCGAGUACAAAGCGCUGCAAAUCUGCAAAGGGGAGCCAAUCGCAAAAAGCUCGUCUCAGUUCGGAUUGGAGUCUGCAACUCGCCUCCAUGAAGCUGGAAUCGCUAGUAAUCGCAGAUUAGCAUGCUGCGGUGAAUACGUUCCCGGGUCUUGUACACACGCAU
rnacentral:rRNA from 1 species